rnacentral:rRNA from 1 species
AAAAACAUAGCCUUAGGUAAUUGAUCUAAGGUUCUACCUGCCCAAUGUUUAAAAUUAAUGGCCGCAGUACUUUAACUGUGCGAAGGUAGCAUAAUAAGUUGGCUUUUAAAUGGAGUCUGUAUGAAUGGAGUAACGUGGUGGGACUGUCUCACUUUAGUUUUAUUUAAUUUUCUUAGAGGGUGAAAAUUCCCUCAUUUUGAAAAAAGACGAGAAGACCCUUAGAGUUUAAAUUAAACCUUACUAAGUAAGUUGAAUUUUUGUUGGGGCGACAAGGAAGCAAAUAACCUUCCUGUUUUACUAGACGGCUUUGCAAGUGCGAAAAAACUACCUAAGGGAUAACAGCAUAAUUCUUGUUUGUGUUUGUGACCUCGAUGUUGGACUAGGAAUAGACCAGACUAGUAGUCUGAUUUUAUGGCUCUGUUCGAGCUUUUUCUCCUACAUGAUCUG